rnacentral:rRNA from 1 species
AGCGAACGUUUGCGGCGGGCUUAACACAUGCAAGUCGAACGAUAAGCCCCUUCGGGGGUGGAAAGUGGCGCACGGGUGCGUAACACGUGGGUAACCUACCCUUUAGACUGGGACAACCCGGGGAAACUCGGGCUAAUACCGGAUAUGACGCGAGACGCUUCGGCGCCCUGCGUGAAAGUUUCGCAAGGGACGCUAAAGGAUGGGCCCGCGGCCCAUCAGCUAGUUGGUGAGGUAAUGGCUCACCAAGGCUAAGACGGGUAGCUGGUCUGAGAGGAUGAUCAGCCACACUGGAACUGAGACACGGUCCAGACUCCUACGGGAGGCAGCAGUGGGGAAUCUUGCGCAAUGGGCGAAAGCCUGACGCAGCCACGCCGCGUGUGCGAUGAAGGUCUUCGGAUCGUAAAGCACUGUGGAGGGAGAAGAAUCAAGCCGGUGAAGAGCCGGCCCUGACGGUAUCCCUUUAGCAAGCACCGGCUAACUCCGUGCCAGCAGCCGCGGUAAUACGGA